rnacentral:rRNA from 1 species
UACGUAGGGUGCGAGCGUUAAUCGGAAUUACUGGGCGUAAAGCGUGCGCAGGCGGUUCGUUGUGUCGGCGGUGAAAGCCCCGGGCUUAACCUGGGAGUGGCCGUUGAAACUGGCGAACUGGAGUGUGGCAGAGGGGGGUGGAAUUCCGCGUGUAGCAGUGAAAUGCGUAGAGAUGCGGAGGAACACCGAUGGCGAAGGCAGCCCCCUGGGCUAACACUGACGCUCAGGCACGAAAGCAUGGGGAGCAAAAGGG